rnacentral:rRNA from 1 species
CCUACGGGAGGCAGCAGUCGAGAAUCAUUCACAAUGGGGGAAACCCUGAUGGUGCGACGCCGCGUGGGGGAAUGAAGGUCUUCGGAUUGUAAACCCCUGUCAUGUGGGAGCAAAUUAAAAAGAUAGUACCACAAGAGGAAGAGACGGCUAACUCUGGGCCAGCAGCCGCGGUAAUACAGAGGUCUCAAGCGUUGUUCGGAAUCACUGGGCGUAAAGCGUGCGGAGGCUGUUUCGUAAGUCGUGUGUGAAAGGCGCGGGCUCAACCCGCGGACGGCACAUGAUACUGCGAGACUAGAGUAAGGGAGGGGGAACCGGAAUUCUCGGUGUAGCAGUGAAAUGCGUAGAUAUCGAGAGGAACACUCGUGGCGAAGGCGGGUUCCUGGACAUUAACUGACGCUGAGGCACGAAGGCCAGGGGAGCGAAAGGGAUUAGAUACCCCGGUAGUC